rnacentral:rRNA from 1 species
AACGAACGCUGGCGGCAGGCUUAACACAUGCAAGUCGAACGAUGUAGCAAUACAUAGUGGCGCACGGGUGAGUAACGCGUGGGAAUGUACCAUUUGGUGGGGAAUAACAGAGGGAAACUUCUGCUAAUACCGCAUACGCCCGAGAGGGGAAAGAUUUAUCGCCAAAUGAUCAGCCCGCGUGAGAUUAGGUAGUUGGUGGGUAAUGGCCUACCAAGCCUACGAUCUCUAGCUGGUCUGAGAGGAUGAUCAGCCACACUGGAACUGAGACACGGUCCAGACUCCUACGGGAGGCAGCAGUGGGGAAUAUUGGGCAAUGGAGGAAACUCUGACCCAGCCAUGCCGCGUGAAUGAUGAAGGCCUUAGGGUUGUAAAGUUCUUUCGCCGAUGAAGAUAAUGACGGUAGUCGGAGAAGAAGCCCCGGCUAAACUUCGUGCCAGCAGCCGCGGUAAU